AGCGGCGGACGGGUGAGUAACGCGUGGGUAACCUGCCUCAUACAGGGGGAUAACAGUUAGAAAUGACUGCUAAUACCGCAUAAGACCACAGCACCGCAUGGUGCGGGGUAAAAACUCCGGUGGUAUGAGAUGGACCCGCGUCUGAUUAGCUAGUUGGUAAGGUAACGGCUUACCAAGGCGACGAUCAGUAGCCGACCUGAGAGGGUGACCCGGCCACAUUGGGACUGAGACACGGCCCAA
rnacentral:rRNA from 1 species